rnacentral:rRNA from 1 species
CAGCCGUAAACUAUGCGCGUUAGGUGUAUCGGUGACCACGAGUUACCGAGGUGCCGAAGGGAAACCGUGAAACGUGCCGCCUGGGAAGUACGGUCGCAAGGCUGAAACUUAAAGGAAUUGGCGGGGGAGCACCACAACAGGUGGAGCCUGCGGUUUAAUUGGAUUCAACGCCGGACAUCUCACCGGAUAAGACAGCUGAAUGAUUGUCAAUCUGAAGGUUUUACAUGACUAGCUGAGAGGUGGUGCAUGGCGUCAGUGACU